ACUAAAGUUAGAAAAGGGUGCCCUUAAAACCAAAAGAUUCUCGAGACAAAACAGUGAAACAUGAAAGCUGUGUACUGCACAAAAUACCAACUUCAGUUAAAGAAGCUAAAAUCCUUGAAUCUUAACCAAAUCCAAGCAUCUGAACCAGUUUUCCAAGAAUAAAUUUUGUGGGUUGCAACAACUUUUGCCUCUCAUGUCUCGCUUCAAACCAAGAUUACCAUUUGCUCACGACCCAGGUCUCUGAUCAUCACUGGCACAAUGCGUCAGCUUUCCUCCUGCAAGUGUCCAAGGGUGACCAGUUUGCUCCAAAAGAAACUUCAGUUUACCCCAUAGCUGCUCCCUGUUAGUGGGACUGGGGCUUCCGUAAACUAUAGUAGAGACCCAAGCUGGAAAAUCAGGCUUAGAAAUGAUUGCUGCUACAGAUUGCAUAUUUGACUCAACAAUUGUAAUCCCAACUCUAUUAGGGUUCCAAAGUAGCCAAACUCCACCUGCCUGCUGCUGUGCUUCCACAAAUUCAGCUCUUGUAAGGCCAAAUUGGUUGAAGAAGUUCCUUAGACUAAAGCUUUGAACACGAGGCUCCAGUAUUGCUACCACUUCAGCUGAAUGCAAUCUAUGACUCUCUCUCAUGCAUCUUGUGAAAUCAUCAUCUCCGGCUCCCAAGCAAUUAUAUAACAAGAUCUUCAUUGAUGGGUUAUCGAUGUGUACAGAAAUUGGUGAUGCAGGUGUGGCAAAUAGGAAAAUUAAUAAGAGCAGGCAAUGCGUUGGCAGUAUUAAUGAGGAUUCUUUUAUCGUACCUAGAGGGUGUUGCUUCCAGGAACUCUCACAGAGAAAUCUUGCUUCUGAUUAUGUGUUGGUGAUAUUGAUGCGGAUCUUUUUUUUUUUUUUUUGGGUACCGAGAGGGUGUAGCUUCCAGUAACUUUCAUUUAUGAAAAUAAUUUCAUACACUGGUGGAACUUUUUUUUGGGCUUUUGGGGGGAGGGGCAGCAGCCCCCCAAGAAUUUUAUAAAUUCUUUUGAUGUAAUAGGUAUUUUGGCUUAAGAAGUUUUCUUGGUUUAAGUUUCUUCCCCCCAAAAUUUCUUCUGAUAAAGCUCCCCCAAAUUGCAGUACUGGUACGAUAAUAGUUGCCCAAGUUCAAAUCGCAACUAUGUACUAAAUUUAGACUUAUGUAUCAAAUAAUGUAGUUUGUACUCUCAGGUUUAGCUAUCCGUUUGAUCUACUAUUUUAUAGUCUGUAACUAAAUUAUAUAGGAUCCUUGUUCUUACUCUUGCCGUGUCUAUUUCAGCUAUGGAGCAAGCAUUCUUGACAAUGAAACUCCUUAGAAACUCCAUGGUGAAACAAAAUGGGAGAUGACCUUCUUGCAGGUUCCUUGAUUAAUUUAGUAGAAAAGGGAUUUGCUAGAAGUUUCGGUUCAGAUUCUAUCAUGAAUGCUCUUGAUUCUGAGAAAGAGUGACAUGCACAAUUUAGAAUGCCUUGCGCUUGAUAGAUUCUAAGAAAGUAAGUUGCUAUCUAUUUAUAAUGCCUUAAAACUUCUCAAAGUUCGAAGUUGUAAGUUCUACAAAAACUUUCAAUUUAGAAGUUUUGGUACAGAUUCUAUCAUGAAUGCUUUUGAUUCUAAGAAAGAAUGACAUGCACAAUUUAGAAUGCCUUGCAUUUGAUAGAUUCUAAGAAAGUAAUUUGAUCCCCACUUUGCAGGAUAGAACUUAUGUGAUUUCAAAUAUCAUGCAAUAUUUGAUUAACUUUUUGAGAAUUUAUGUGUUUAUGAAUUACAUGCUUUGCUUUCUAUUAAUUCUUUAAUAAUUUACUGUGGCUCGCUUUAGACACUAUUGUCAUACGUAACACCCGGCCCCCCAAAAAAGAAAGUCCAAACCCUGGUUUUGCUAGUGAUUUCAUUGAAGGGUCAACAAAUCAUCUGUCUUGUUUAUCUGAGGCAAUAUUUGAGAGUUCUCAUACUCAAUAGUGUCGUUUCAAGUGAUUUCAAGUUACUGACCUUAUAUUUUGCAUGUGGUAAGUCCGUAUCAAGCAUUACAUUGCUCACAUUUUUUGCUUCUUCUGUAGGCUCAAGGGAUGACAAUUGGACAAUCCUAACCAAUUUUUGCAUAGAACAAUGCUCACACUAUGACCCAUUCUGAUGUUCCAGAUAUUCUAGCCACCUUAAGUAUGUAAAUCAUUGUAAGUUAUAGACACCUUAUAGGCUAAAGAUUUUUAUGGGUGAGCAAUUCAUUUUGUGGAACAUAGAGUGGUAUGUUAUAGACAUACUAUGCAUCAAAGAUGCUUCAUGGAUGAGCGUGCCAUUUUGUGGAGAAUCUGGAUGAUGAUGAUACAAGGAUAUAUACCUUUUUCCAUUAAAUAUUGAUCAGUCCUAGUUCAAAUUGGAAUACUUAUUUGCUUGUCAAAUUUGUUAAUUCCCAACUAGCAAAACACUUUGGGGAGGUCAACAAUCAAAGAUUUAUUGAAACUGGUAGGUGAGGAUCACUAUAAAUGUUUAGAGCUGGGUGUUUUAUUUGGCAAUAUGUGCAUUUGAUUACAAUUUGCACUUCAUUUUUGUUUAUGUUUCAUUGAUCUGCACCAUAGUUUAUAGUUCCAGUAUGAUAUGUCAAGGGGAAUAAACUACGGGGGGAUUUUAAACAGGUCUAUCGAAGGUGGAAAACCGUGCGUGUGCAAAAGUUUUUUUAUCAUACUGUCAUACUUUUUACAGCCGGACUUGAUGUAAUUUAUGAUGCUUUGAACCUUGAUAUUCACUUAGAAUCACCUCAAAUAGACUAUUAGUUACCAUACUACCAUAUAGGCACGGAUUUUGGGAACCAAGAAGAGAAUGGCCAUCCUCCUCUUUAUUGCUUGUUCACGUUAAUCCUCCAGUUAUGAACUCUCUACCGUAAGGUGACAUCGUUAUGUUAUCAAAUUUCUUCCACCAUUUGAUGCUUAGAAAGUAUUCUUUUGACGUGGGCUAUUCUUGAUCAGUGGUUAUAAUCCUGGAAUGCUGUUUCCUCACCAUUCCACCAAGGUAGAAUGUCAUCUUUUGAGGCAAUGCAGGUACAUUAGUGUGCAGUUUUUGGAGUUGUAGCUGAGACCUCAAAGCCAUAAAGGUGGCCAUUUUGGUUCAAGGAUUGCAAGCUCUAGGUGCAGCUUUCACAUGUAGAUCUGGUGUCCAGCUUUCUUCUUCCUUUUUGCUUGCCUUUGACCUUUUAAUCUAAUAUUUGAUGUAUGAGAGUGAUGUAAUCACUUUGAUUUGUGUUUGGAUUGCAUUUUUCUGGAUUUUUUGUAGAAAAAUUACUGUAGCGAUUUGAUGUAUGUGAGAUAAAAAGGUAAUAGAGAAAUGUGUUCACGAAAACGUAACAAUUUUUCAACAUCCAAUGUAGAGGCAGACUCUUUAUUGUUUCA